GGGCCGGCUGGGAAACACUUGAUGGUACAUGGGUCCCUUUUAAGCUCUACCUUCCUCGGAGCUGGGUAAUUCCCAUGCUCAGCCUUCUUGCUGAUGCUGGAUAUGAGACGUAUACAGCAAAAAGUAAUUUUGAAGUGAAAUCACAUAGUUUGGGCUUUGGUUACUCUAUCUACAGCCUUUAGAAACACUAUGCUGAAGGACUCAGAUGUCAUUGAGAUAUGUGUUUGCCAUCCCUUAAUUGUCUAAUACAGCUCCAGAAAGGGCACGGGCAUUUCCACAGCUACCCCAGGUCGGCUUUGGAGCCAGGGUUGGCAUCCAAGAAGGACUUCAUCCUGCAUCAUCACAUCCCUGGAGACCAUGAACUUAAAUGAGCCUAAGCAAAGUGCCUAUAGCUUGGUUGGAGAUUAUCCAGGAACAAAAGAAAAGCCAAGACAGAAACUACACAGGGUCAUCACCGGAGAUAGCAGGGUUUGAGCCUGUCCAGAUCUCUGAGGAGAUAAAGUGCCUCUCAGAACUGCCCACUCAAAGGAGCAGGGGCAGGGGCAGCUCCUUCAGCUUACGUCCUGCUAUGUGCACGGCAACUGCCAGGAGCUUUAGCACUCCUGGAAAGAACACCCGAGACGGGCUUCUAUAAUUGGAGGUGUGUACUACCUGCAGCUGAAAUCAAGGUCUGCAAGAAAUUGCAAGACAAGAUGCAAAAGAAAUCCUUUACCUAUACCACAUCCUAGAAGGGGAUCUUUAGGUCAUGCUUCCUUUACUCAGCACCAUUUUUCUAAUUUAAAAAAAAAAAGGCCGGAAGUAGCACUGCCUGUUCCUUCCUGCCAAAUGUGGUGGUAAUCCUUCUGAAAGGACCUGGCUAGGAGAAAGUGGCACAUCCCAGCAGCAGGACAGGAUGCAGGGGAGGUGGUAACAGAAGGGCCUGUGCCUCUUCCCUUUCAGAGACUUGGAGGAACCACAUGGGCUCUGCUGCUCCGAAGUGAGGCUCACAGAAAGGAACCAACAGCAGGGAGAGUUUAACAUCAAAUUGCAUCUGAACUUUCAACUGCGUUCCUCCUGACAGCUGCCUUGGGUAAGGAGCCUGGCAAGUGCUUUAGAUUUUUAUUCAUGAGUAGACAGGAGAGGAGGUGAGGACACAAUUCUGAGAUGAAGAACUCCAAAUUAUGAGAAGAAUGCCAACUGUCAAUAAUCAAAAUAAUUCUUCUCUGUAUAAUCAACACCACAUCGGCACAGCUGCUGACAAGGAAACAAUAAACACAAAGUAAAAAUAAAAAUCUCUCGGUUUUUUUUUUUUUCAUGCUACCUUACAAGGAAAAUCUGUACUGGAGCAAGGCUUUGUGGAAUAAUUCCUGAAACAUGCAAUCAACAUUUUCUUGAAAUUUACAGCUGGCGCAUUACAUUUAGCACACUUCUUAUUACUUAUUUAUUUAUACCUUGUAGAAAUGGUUUAACACUCAAGUGUUAGUACCAUUUCUUUGGCAACUGAUUGUACACUGCCCAAUGACAGCCUUACAUUGAGCAUGGAGAAUAUAUGUGCGUGUGUGUGUGGUGCCUGAUAUUAGGAUCAUGUGACCCGUGGUCAGCUAAAGUCCUUAGACAGGAUUCCCCAACUUGCUAUGGGUUUCCUAAGAUGACAUAACUCAUAGAGGAGGAAAACAGCAUUAGGAUUCUGAAUUAAAUAUCAGGGAAUCCAGAGUCAUUCAUGUGUAAAGAUUUGGCUAUGGAGUUGAGACAGCUUGGGUUUCAAUUGCACUUCACCAUUUACCGUCACAUGACCCUGAGAAGAGCACAUGAUCUCAGGAAACUUCAAUGGGAGGUGGUAAAAUAGGAAUAAGAAUGCUCCCUCAGAUGUUUGUUGUGAAACUAAGUAAAAUAGUGUCUGUGUGACACACUCAUACAAUUCACUACUCACAAUAAUUGCAGAAGAAAGGUCAGCUAUUACAACUGUUGUGGAGUUAUGAAAUAUUUCAUGUCUUUAUCUCAGAUUUCCUUUCAUUCAGUAGGAACAGCAGACCCUUCCUGUGACCUAGAAAGACUCCCACUUUCUCCCUACUUACUGUAUAAUUUGGGUAUUCAUUUGGUUCUGAAUCGUCCAAACAGCUAUGAACUGCUGGGUCCUCAGGGCUUUAGGUAGUGUAUGAGAGAUCAAGCGCAUCCUAGGGGAAUUAACAGAAGCAUCCCAAGUCAAAGGGGGAAGUUGUGUCAGACAGCUGAUGUCCCCCCACUUUUCUGAAAUGUUCCUCCACCUGGGUGCCUACAGUGUAACGUGGAACAUGGCUGAGAUGGAGAAGUGAGGGAGAAUUAUCCUCCUGGGGAAGAGGUUCCCUUCCCCAGGCUCAUACCUCUGAAAGAGGCAGAAC
ensembl:lincRNA